GGGCCGUUAGCUCAGUGGGAGAGCGCUUCCCUGACACGGAAGAGGUCACUGGUUCAAAUCCAGUACGGCCCACCA
rnacentral:tRNA from 1 species